CAGUUAUCAGUCAUACUUCAUGCUACGAACAUCUGUAGUUCUGUACUUCAUGCUACGAAGUUGUAUAGUCGAGAACGUAGGCAUUAUAAUAGCCUUUAAUCUAUCCUUGGCAAUUUCAUCUGAUCACGUGGUCUGACUGAAACUGCUCUACAUUUCCCAAAAAUGUCGUCUGUUGCUCGUUGCUGCCUGGUUGCUGCACGUACCGGCUGUACUUUCAUCACAUGAAGCAAUACUUCAGAACAGUAAACCUGGUGAAGUCUGUGCUUCUUUAUUGCAGUCCAAUGUGUGCAUGGAUUUGUUGCAGCCAGCUGGUGAAAGGUGUUUCUCAUGCAGGCUUGCUUGCUCUGUACCAUUUGAAGCUUUCAUCACGAUUACAGCCUCUUUAACUUAAGGUCUGAGCCUCUUCGUGGCACUCCAAUGUGCACACGGAUUUGGUGCAGCCAGCUGUUGAAAGGUGGUGGAGUGUCUGUUCGUGAGUGAGUGACUAUAUUCUGCCAAUGACAGUGAACGGGAAUGUGUUGCUGACGGUGUUUUUCGUUUUUACAUUUAAGAACGAUUGAGGUAUUCGGACGCCAUUCAACCAAACUGAAUCGAAAGUGACCAACUCUAAAGCAAGUCAUGCCUUUCUCCAUGUGGUCGCUGAUGUGUCAUGAAUAUGCGUCUUCGAGACGGUCUUUACUAUAGUGCAAGACAAUAUUGUGAUGAAAACGGGAAAUCUGAAAUGGAAAAAGCAGACAUUCCUGUCAUUAUUAAAAACUGAAGUCUUCAUCAUGUGAUUGUUGGCCAUCUUCUUAAUUGGGUUUUAUCUAGUUUAUUCUAAAUUUCAAGAUUUCAUGUUCAGCUUGAUUUUGGAGCUGUUUGCGAUGUUGCUGUGUGGUGUGCAGUGGUUUCACAGUCAGUUUCCAGUUGACAGAUGCACUUGAAUGGAGCUUGUGCAGACUUGCAAUUCAACAUUAAACCCCAAUUUCUCAUUUGUCUUUUCUUGUUGUGUUCAUGCGGUGUUGAAAAGUUGGUGAAAAUAGUCCAUUUUACCUGAGAGCUUGUCUUGCAUAUUAUGUCAGCUGCAAUUUUGUCGACAUGUUAUCUUCUGCCACCUGUACCGGCGUUGAGUUAAUACAAUCGCUCGCCGCCGUUCCAUAGCUGAAACAGAAGAGAUGCUGAAAUUCAAAACUGAUAAAUAAUGUAGGCCUAGAUGAUUAUUAGGGCAUAUCUGUGCUCCUUCCUUCCCCUUUUUCUUAAGUAAACAGAACCAAUCCCAACCCCUGUAAGCUUGUAAAAUCAAAGUAUAGAUGAAGGUACAAUUAAUCAUAGAAGAGUAGUUUCCCUCAUAUAGCCCUCCAAAUUUUCCACAGAUGAUGUCUUAUCGCAUUAUCACAGCGGGUGAUUAACUAGCUGUAACUGAAUAGUUCUUGUCUUUUCUAGAAAGAACAUGACUUCUCUUAAAGUCUGUUAUGCAAAUUUAGAAACCUGUUGUUUAGAAUCAGCAAAUAUAAAAAAAAAAUAAAGUUACCUUGUUUAUACUUUU